rnacentral:rRNA from 1 species
UACAGAGGGUGCGAGCGUUAAUCGGAAUUACUGGGCGUAAAGCGUGCGUAGACGGCUAUCUAAGUCGGGUGUGAAAGCCCCGGGCUCAACCUGGGAAUUGCAUUCGAGACUGAAUAGCUAGGGUGCGGUAGAGGGAAGCGGAAUUUCCGGUGUAGCGGUGAAAUGCGUAGAUAUCGGAAGGAACGUCAGUGGCGAAAGCGGCUUCCUGGACCAGCACCGACGUUCAGGCACGAAAGCGUGGGGAGCAAACAGG